AGAAUCAACGCUGGCGGCGUGCCUAACACAUGCAAGUCGAACGAGAAAGUGGAGCAAUCCAUGAGUAAAGUGGCGCACGGGUGAGUAACACGUGACUACCUACCCUCGAGUGGGGAAUAACCUCGGGAAACCGGGGCUAACACCGCAUAACAUCUACGGAUCAAAUGCGAAAGCAGCUUGAGGAGGGGGUCGCGGCCGAUUAGCUAGUUGGUGAGGUAAUGGCCCACAAGGCAAUGAUCGGUA
rnacentral:rRNA from 1 species